AUGGGCAAUAAUUUAUGGUUUUUGUUAGGAUGCUUAUUUUUGGAAUGUUGUAUGGUACACAUGAAUGAAACUGGGGCUGGUCAUUGUGUAACAUCACAACUGAAGUACACUGAACCCACAAGGCAGCUUUCGUUCAUAUUUAAUGCUGUAUUUAAUAUAUUAAACUUGGCACCCAAACAGUACUUGCAACAGCAUAUGUACACAGUAAGUACAUUUCUUUUGGAACAUCGGCACAGUUUAGUUGGCAGAGUGGCUGUGUCAAGAAAAUUUAUCAUAGCGCUUAGAAUGAUACAAAUAAAUAGAUAG
rnacentral:rRNA from 1 species